GGAUGGAACCCAGAACCUCGUGUAUACACCUCCAGCCUUGGACUAUGUCUUUAAGUGUAAAAAAAUGUGCAUUACUGCAGACUCAAGUGUUUUUUGUUUUGUUUUGCUUUGUUUUUUACUUUCAGUCUUAUCCCCUCUCAAAUACACCACCUAACUUACUGUCAACAUUAUGUUAAUAUAAGAAAAUGCAAUUAUCUUUCUUUUUUUGAUGUCAACUUUUUUAUUAAUAUUCAUGUAUCAAUACAAUUAUCCAAUAUUAAUAAUAAAUAAUUAAAUAAUAAUGCAAUCAUAUCGUUUCCCUCCUUAAAAC
rnacentral:lncRNA from 1 species